UUUUUUUUUUGAAGAAUUGUGGUAGACUGUUCUAUAUAUAGAAGUAAACCUGAAAUCAUAAUUAUUUUUCCAAAAGGUAUUUUCUGGCAAACUUAAUUAAAUACAUUUCCCCACAAAAUUCUAGAAGUAAUUAAUAAGCAAUGACUAUUUAUAAGUACUUAAUAGAAAAUUUUAAUUUGCUAGAGGGACAGUAUACAUCCAUUAGGUAAAAGUCAUAUGUCAUAUUAAAGGUGGAGUAAGUCCUAAGUAGAAAUCAGUGGAAAGACAUUUCAGCUUUUAAGUACAGUAAGGACCAGUUGGUGGUAAUUAUAACAAAUUUAUUGGAAGAACUAUGAUAGCAAGAGAUGACCAAAAAUGGAACUGGAUAUUUAGUUUCAAGUCAUUGAAAAUAAGCAGAAACUAGAUGUUUAUGUACCAGAUUAACGGGUUUCUCUGUCAGCUUAUUAGGUGAUUUUCAAUGGAAGAAUAUGUUUGAGUUCUUAAAUAGAAACCUAAGAAAAUACUUAUUCUAGAAAUUAGAAUGUGGCUAAGAAUAAAAGGGGAAACCAAAAAUAGCAGGGACGGAAGAAGCUAAGUAGACUGCAGCAUAAGGAACGCAGAAAUUCCAACUGUGUUAGGAACUUUGAAUGUCAAUUAUUCAAGCAAGACAAUAACCACCACCCUUGGUCACAAAGUGCUGGGAUUACAGGCAUGAGCCACCACACCCAGCUUUUAGUUACUUUUUAAAAUCAAUGUGCACUUAGGUUCUAAAAUUAUGCUUAAUGCCUUUAAUUCAGUCUGAAAUUACUCUCAAUUGGUAACAUGUUAUUCUGAGAAUUUCAGGUUUAGGUAUCUUUUUUGUUGUUGUUGUGAUAAGGUCUUACUCUAUCACCCAGGCUGGAGGACAGUGGCACAAUCAUAAUCAGCUCACCACAGCCUCAAAAUCCUGAGUUCCAGUGAUUCUUCUGCCUUAACAUCCCGAAUAGCUGGGACUGUAGGCAGGUGCUGUCAUGGUUGGCUGAGAUAUAUAUCAUAUAUAUCUGAUAUGUAUAUAUCACACAUAUCAUAUGUAUAUAUCAUACAUAUGUAUAUAUCAUACAUAUCUCAUAUAUAUCAUAUAUAUCUCAUAUCAUACAUAUACAUGAUAUAUAUAUCAUACAUAUAUGUAUGAUAUAUAUUAUAUAUGAUAUAUGUAUGAUAUAUGUAUCGUAUAUAUGAUACAUAUAUCAUAUAUAUAUUAUCAAAUGUUAUAUAUAUAUUUUAUAUAUAUAUAUAUUUUUAGUUUUUGUAGACUAGGUCUCACUUUGUUGCCCAGGCUGGUCUCAAACUCCUGGCCUCAAACCUUGGCCUCCCAAAGUGCUAGGAUUACAGGCAUGAGCCACUGCCCAGUUCAGGUUUGCAGAUGGUAAUUAAGAUGUUUUCCAGCCGAGCGCAGUGGCUCACACCUAUAAUCCCAACACUUUGGGAGGCUGAGGCGGGUGGAUCAUGCAGGAGUUUGAGACCAGCCUGGCCAACGUGGUGAAACCCCGUCUCUACUAAAAGUAAAAACUUAGCCGGGCAUGGUGAUGGGCACCUGUAAUCCCAGUUACUCAGGAGGCUGAGGCAGGAGAAUUGCUUGAACCCAGGAGGCAGAGGUUGCAUUGAGCCAAGAUCGCGCCACUGCACUCUCUAGCCUGGGCAACAGAGCAAGACUCCGUCUCAAAAAGAAAAAAAAAAAAAAAGCUAAAACCUAUUUAUUUUAGAUAAAGUAAGGUGAGGUUUGUGGCGCUUUUUUUUUUAAGUUGGGAACUUAGAUUUUUGUUUAUGAAAAUUCCUGGCUGCUUGAAUGAUUCUCAUUUACAGGUUUUAGAAAAUUUCAGUGUUAAACUUUGUAUAUACUUAUGUAUCAACUACUUUAGAUUAUAAUGGCAAAGCUGGCAGGUGGGCCUAAAGCUCCUAAACCACAAGGAAAUUGGGACAGAGAUGGUUGGCAAGACACAUCUCAUAUAUAAAUAGCAAAUCAGGUGCCAAACUGACCGACUUACACCAGUGAUGCAUGCACAUAUUUUCACUUUCAGCUUUUUGAGUUAUUGAAGUGCAUGUCUUGGAAUGUUCACUAAUCUCUGUGGAUUUUAUUGCGGUUAUCCAUAAAAGCAGUAAACUUUCUCAUGCGCUGAAAGUUUACAAUUGAAUUUCUAACAAGGGAGCUAGCAAACUCUGUGCUGUAGUGUUUUAUAUGCAGUACAUAAUUAUACCAAGAAGACUGCUUAAUCUUAAAUCAUGCUAAUAGAAGCAUUCUUUUCAUUCUAAAGGUUAAGUUGAUAAGCAUACUCUUGUGUGAUUCUUUUUUAUGCAGAUCAUCAUGGCAAAACCAGCUGGUGGGCCCAAGCCUCCAAGUGGGAAGAAAGACUGGGAUGAUGACCAAAAUGAUUGAAAUUGGCUUAAUUUUUACUGUAGGUGAAGGCUGUAUUUGUAGUAGUACUCAAGAAUCACCUGAUGUUUUCUUAUUCUCCUUA
rnacentral:lncRNA from 1 species